CAAAUUGGGAACCACACCCUUUCAGUGGUGCAGGAAUUUACCUACUUGGGUUCAACAAUUGUCAGUAACCUAGACUUAGACAUCGAGCUGACAAAAAGGAUAGGAAAAGCUACCACAGCAUUGGCAAAACUCUCCAAGCGCGUCUGGGAAAAUGGUAAAUUGACCACAGCGACCAAAAUCCUAGUCUACAACGCCUGUGUUUUGAGCACUCUCCUUUAUGGCAGUGAAAGCUGGUCAACAUACAUGUACCAAGAGCACAGAUUGAAUAGUUUCCACUUGCGCUGCCUGAGACGCAUAAUGGGCAUCUCUUGGAGGGACCAUGUCUCCAAUCAGGAAGUUUUGAGAUUGGCCAAUAUGAACAGCAUGUAUGCUCUCCUGACACAAAGAAGAUUACGCUGGCUCGGACAUGUCACCCGCAUGCCAGAUGGUAGAAUCCCGAAAGAUAUCUUAUAUGCUGAGCUUGUGGAAGGAGUCAGACCCAAGGGCCGCCCAAGACUAACAUAUAGAGAUGUCUGCAAGCGAGACAUGAGAGCCUCUGGCAUCAGCGAAAGUAUGUGGGAAAACAUAGCCAAAGACCGGAGUGCAUGGAGACAGACUGUGCGUGCUGGGACAACCCUUGCUGAGAACAAAAGAAUUGAAGCGGCCUUAAUCAAGAGGGAAAAAAAGAAAGCUGCCCUGUCCGCUAGCCCUAAAUCAGAGGCAUACACAUGUACGAAUUGUGGCAAAGUCUGCCAUUCUAGAAUUGGCUUGAUUAGCCACACCAGAUUCUGCCCGUCUCAAGAUUAAGCCAAAACCAGUGACUCAUUUGGGCGCAUCCAUUGCCUUUCGAGACAAAAGGAGCCAUCUAUCUAUCUAUCUAUCUCUCUAUCUAUCUAUCUAUCUAUCUAUCUAUCUCCUUCCCUUUAAAUGCAGGUCCUGUUGAAAAAAAAACAAUUGGAAUGUACAGCGCUAUCUUUGGAAUGACAUUAGUGAACUGAAUUAUUUGUUAGAGAUAACAUGAGAUUUGGUGCGUAAAUUGUGCGUUUGUUUGUUAUUUUAUUUUUUUAGCAGUGACAUUUAGCUAGCGACUAUGACGUAAUUUAAGUCAGAGGGUUGAUACUAGCCAUCAAUUUAAAUGUUAGUUGAUGAGACAGAUUCGUUCGAGGCAGUUCUAGUACAGCAGUACAAAGUAGUAUGGACUUUGGGUUUUUCGUAUAGAGACAGUGACGACAAUGUUGAAUAAAAUGUAUUUGUUAAUAUAUUCUACUUGAAUCCAAUCUUAAUCAACUCAUUGUUGGCCUAGUGGUGUGUUCCACUUGGUGUGCUAGUUUGAAGUUACCUGCUACAUUAUCAUAAUCAAAGUUCUACACUUAGCAUCAGCACAUCAAAUCCCCAACCUCUGCAGGGUGAGGACAUUUUAUUUCGGGGAGGGAGGGAUGAACACCCACCCCUGCAGAGGUGGAGCUGGGAGUGUUCGGGGCCCGUAGGCGAGUGUCUUAUCAGAGCCACGAAUAGUUGUAAUAAAGGUUGACGGUGACAAAAGAUUCACUGGUUGCCCCACCCUCUCAUGUCACCUCUGACCCCUGAUCCAACAUGAUUAUUGUUUCGAGAAAAAUGUAUUACAUUGACACAAAUGUUUACAUACAGACUAAGUUGGAAGUCAGGGUUAAGGACUAUCAUAAUAGUAUAUUAACUUUUGGUUCAUUUGGGAUCUAGUGCAUACGGUUGUGCCCUGGUUAAUCAGUAGUUUGCUUUUUUUCAAUUCUGAAUUUAGAUUACACGUUUUGUCUUAAAUGUUUAUGAUACUAGAGAGUUAAGUAUUUUAAAAAAUUUGGGUCAGAUUUUACUAGCAUUCUGGAUUUACAAGAUGAUUAGGCAAAAAAAAAUAUUUUUCUUUUUUCAGUUCUCGUCUAUGAAAUAAACCUGUCGUAGUCUAUCAAAUAACCCAUGUUCCUCACUAUUCAAAAAACUCAUUUCCCUCUAUCAAAUAACUCAUUUCCCUCUAUCAAAUAACCCAGUUCUAGCCUAUUAAAUGACCCAGUUCUAGUCUGUCCAAUAACACAGUUCUAGCCUAUUGAAUGACCCAGUUCUAGUCUGUCCAAUAACCCAGUUCUAGUCUAUUAAAUGACCCAGUUCUAGUCUAAUAAAUAACCCAGUUCUAGUCUAUUAAAUGACCCAGUUCUAGUCUAAUAAAUAACCCAGUUCUAGUCUAUUAAAUGACCCAGUUCUAGUCUGUCCAAUAACCCAGUUCUAGCCUAUUAAAUGACCCAGUUCUAGUCUGUCCAAUAACACAGUUCUAGCCUAUUGAAUGACCCAGUUCUAGUCUGUCCAAUAACCCAGUUCUAGUCUAUUAAAUGACCCAGUUCUAGUCUAAUAAAUAACCCAGUUCUAGCCUAUUAAAUAACCCAGUUCUAGUCUGUCCAAUAACCCAGUUCUAGUCUAAUAAAUGACCCAGUUCUAGUCGGUCGAAUAACCCAGUAAUCCUAUCGUCACAAUUCAAAAACUAAGUUCUCCUAUUUCCAACCAUUGGUCUUAGAAAUGUCCAUGCCAAACUUUGAAAGAACUUGAUGUUCAAUACCAGAGGAUGGCGUCUUCGUUUAUGACACUGCAUUUUGACAUCAGCUUUUUUUGUUUCAUUCCAGAUGGGACUCCUGAUUUUGACUCUAGUAGCCCUCAAUAUGACAGAGCUCAAACCCCACAGUAUAUUGCUGGGAGCCCUCAGACAGAACAGGGGUGAAGAACCCCAUGUCCAGGCCUGGUUAUUAGAUAAAAGCCUUUCUAACCACCAAGGGGAUAAUGGCGCCUGGCGCCGACGCCCUACUGGACUUCACUGAAGGUCAUUAGAGAUGAUGCCCGUUGCCGACACUGCGGGGAAUCAGAAGAAACGGUGGUGCACGUCUUGCAAGAGUGUCUGCUGCUCCGCGAGCUGCGUGGAGACGUAUCCAAUGGUCAACUAGUUUUGUAUGGAAGCUAUGAGAAUUUAAGUGAUUGCUUAACAUGCAUGACUAGAUUCACCUAGGAACACGCCUAGGACAUAAUCAUCUUUUUUGAAGUAACGUCUGUAAGAUAAGAUAAGAUAAGAUAAAAUCAUCUAUUUCUAUGACGUUCUUAGACGACCAACAGCUUGGAGUUCCUUAAAGCUAGUCAGGUAACCAUUAAAGGUGGUCUCAGGGGCGUACUAAAAUAAAUGUUCAGCGUGAUUUGAACUCGAGACUCCCUACCUACGGAAGCCAUGCGCUUUACUACUUAGCUACUACACCCCUUGUGAAACAGAUACUACGAUGCCCUAUGAUUCUUGUUUCAGGAAACCAUUUCAACUGUCUUAUGAUUCUUGUUUAACAAACUAUUUCUACAGUCCUAUGAUUCUUGUUUCAGGAAACAUUUUCUACUAUCCUAUGAUUCUUGUUUAACAAACUAUUUCUACAGUCCUAUGAUUCUUGUUUCAGGAAACAUUUUCUACUAUCCUAUGAUUCUUGUUUCAGGAAACUAUUUCUACUGUCCUAUGAUUCUUGUUUCAGGAACUAUUUCUACAGACCUAUGAUUCUUGUUUCAGGAAACAUUUUCUACUAUCCUAUGAUUCUUGUUUCAGGAAACUAUUUCUACUGUCCUAUGAUUCUUGUUUCAGGAACUAUUUCUACAGACCUAUGAUUCUUGUUUCAGGAAACUAUUUCUACAGUCCUAUGAUUCUUGUUUCAGGAACUAUUUCUACAGUUCUAUGAUUCUUGUUUCAGGAAACUAUUUCUACAGUCCUAUGAUUCUUGUUUCAGGAAACAUUUUCUACAGUCCUAUGAUUCUUGUUUCAGGAACUAUUUCUACAGACCUAUGAUUCUUGUUUCAGGAAACUAUUUCUACAGUCCUAUGAUUCUUGUUUCAGGAACUAUUUCUACAGUCCUAUGAUUCUUGUUUCAGGAAACUAUUUCUACAGUCCUAUGAUUCUUGUUUAGGAAACAUUUUCUACAGUCCUAUGAUUCUUGUUUCAGGAAACUAUUUCUACAGUCCUAUGAUUCUUGUUUCAGGAAACAUUUUCUACAGUCCUAUGAUUCUUGUUUCAGGAAACAUUUUCUACAGUCCUAUGAUUCUUGUUUCAGGAAACUAUUUCUACAGUCCUAUGAUUCUUGUUUCAGGAAACAUUUUCUACAGUCCUAUGAUUCUUGUUUCAGGAAACUAUUUCUACAGUCCUAUGAUUCUUGUUUCAGGAAACUAUUUCUACAGUCCUAUGAUUCUUGUUUCAGGAAACUAUUUCUACAGUCCUAUGAUUCUUGUUUCAGGAACUAUUUCUACAGACCUAUGAUUCUUGUUUCAGGAAACUAUUUCUACAGUCCUAUGAUUCUUGUUUCAGGAACUAUUUCUACAGUCCUAUGAUUCUUGUUUCAGGAAACUAUUUCUACAGUCCUAUGAUUCUUGUUUAGGAAACAUUUUCAACAGUCCUAUGAUUCUUGUUUCAGGAAACUAUUUCUACAGUCCUAUGAUUCUUGUUUCAGGAAACAUUUUCUACAGUCCUAUGAUUCUUGUUUCAGGAAACAUUUUCUACAGUCCUAUGAUUCUUGUUUCAGGAAACUAUUUCUACAGUCCUAUGAUUCUUGUUUCAGGAAACAUUUUCUACAGUCCUAUGAUUCUUGUUUCAGGAAACUAUUUCUACAGUCCUAUGAUUCUUGUUUAGGAAACAUUUUCUACAGUCCUAUGAUUCUUGUUUCAGGAAACUAUUUCUACAGUCCUAUGAUUCUUGUUUCAGGAAACAUUUUCUACAGUCCUAUGAUUCUUGUUUCAGGAAACAUUUUCUACAGUCCUAUGAUUCUUGUUUCAGGAAACUAUUUCUACAGUCCUAUGAUUCUUGUUUCAGGAAACAUUUUCUACAGUCCUAUGAUUCUUGUUUCAGGAAACUAUUUCUACAGUCCUAUGAUUCUUGUUUCAGGAAACUAUUUCUACAGUCCUAUGAUUCUUGUUUCAGGAAACUAUUUCUACAGUCCUAUGAUUCUUGUUUCAGGAAACAUUUUCUACAGUCCUAUGAUUCUUGUUUCAGGAAACUAUUUCUACAGUCCUAUGAUUCCUGUUUCAGGAAACUAUUUCUACAGUCCUGUGAUUCUUGUUUCAGGAAACUAUUUCUACAGUCCUAUGAUUCUUGUUUCAGGAAACUAUUUCUACAGUCCUAUGAUUCUUGUUUCAGGAAACUAUUUCUACAGUCCUAUGAUUCUUGUUUCAGGAAACUAUUUCUACUGUCCUAUGAUUCUUGUUUCAGGAAACAUUUUCUACAGUCCUAUGAUUCUUGUUUCAGGAAACUAUUUCUACAGUCCUAUGAUUCUUGUUUCAGGAAACUAUUUCUACUGUCCUAUGAUUCUUGUUUCAGGAAACAUUUUCUACAGUCCUAUGAUUCUUGUUUCAGGAAACAUUUUCUACAGUCCUAUGAUUCUUGUUUCAGGAAACUAUUUCUACAGUCCUAUGAUUCCUGUUUCAGGAAACUAUUUCUACAGUCCUAUGAUUCCUGUUUCAGGAAACUAUUUCUACAGUCCUAUGAUUCUUGUUUCAGGAAACUAUUUCUACAGUCCUAUGAUUCUUGUUUCAGGAAACUAUUUCUACAGUCCUAUGAUUCUUGUUUCAGGAAACUAUUUCUACAGUCCUAUGAUUCCUGUUUCAGGAAACAUUUUCUACAGUCCUAUGAUUCUUGUUUCAGGAAACUAUUUCUACAGUCCUAUGAUUCUUGUUUCAGGAAACUAUUUCUACAGUCCUAUGAUUCCUGUUUCAGGAAACUAUUUCUACAGUCCUAUGAUUCUUGUUUCAGGAAACAUUUUCUACAGUCCUAUGAUUCUUGUUUCAGGAAACUAUUUCUACAGUCCUAUGAUUCUUGUUUCAGGACACAGUGGUAGACACUGUAGAUAAGAACGAUGCUUUCUACUCUGUUGGAAAUAAUGGGACGCUUCUGACAUUUCCUUUGCCUAGAAACAAAAUUUCAGUUCUCAAUGUCUGCUGUAGAGCAAGAUGGAAACAUGACCAAUAAGACAAGCCCAUGGACAGCACCAGAAUAUUACAGCUAUUUCAAACAGAUGAACUUUACAAUAAACGGACAAAAUAACACUGUGAUCGUCAAUAUCCACGACAUUCUCAGUGCACAGUGGACGGCUACCCUACGCCCGUUGUUCUGCUCAACACAUUGCGGACAAAGCAACCUAAGCUAUUUUCAGAGAUGGUGGUUACAUCAGGACAUCCGGUCAAUUAUACAGCAGACCGUUUCGUUGUUGGUUAUUACACGUGCAAGUCGGACAUACUCACAGGAAACUUGUUCAGGGUUAUCAACGUCUUGUGUCGCUGUCAGCUAAGAACCCAUGGUUAUGAAAACAAUGUAGCUGACAUCGAUGUUCAAAGCAUUGAUGUCGACUUCUAUGACAAUCUCGUUACAUUCCGAGUGUUUGGCUACCCAGGGCCCAGGACCAUGAACCUGUCUUCCAAUGAAGUGAUCUUUGAUGAAGGAGUGCAUCUUUCUCAUGAGACAGCCAGUAAAAACUCCUCUUACGACAUCAAAAUAAUGUUUUUGAACCAGUCAUUGUUAAAAAGAUAUAACGUCUUCAAUGUAACUGUCAACAAUGGAUACUACACCUCUAUCUUUACAUUGCAGUGUACAGUAUGUUCAAAGCACAACGAUGGUAGAGCAACAGUCUUCAGUUCCAAUGUGCACUACAUCUUUCUUGUGCUUAUUUUGACUUAUAUGUGUAUCUGAGUACUGUGCUGGCUCAGAUUGCUCACACGUGAAAGCAUCCAUUUAUCAACUUGAGUAGUCCACCGAGCGGACACUAGCUUUGUCUGCAUCAAUUGUGGCAGAAAAUGUAGGUCGCUACUGGGUCCGCGUGGUCAAAGAAUCACAGCACUCAUCCUUAAAUAUUCGGACUCGAGGCCAAUCUCUUACAAUACUUUCAAAGUUGGGAAAGGGAGAGUACUAAAAAAAAAAUAUUGUCCCAAUAAAAAACAAUAAAAAAAGAAAAGUAAAUACUUAAAAUGAUUUUUUUUUUGUUUACAUGUUGAUACUGACGCCAUUUAAGCCUUAAGAUUUGAAACUAGUUCUUAAGGCGCAAUGUGGAUUCGUUAAAUUAAAAAUGUAUAUAAACAUAGUAAGAUAUAAGCAAGAGAACAAUUAUGAUUUAAGUUACGAACAACGAGGGGAACGAUUCCAUUACCUUUGUUUCGCAUAUGUACCGAAUUCUCGAUGACAAAAUCAUUCUUGUCUAGGACACAAAGCCAACUCUUUUAAAGCUUGGGAAAUCAACUGUUGGGAAUAUACUUAUAAAAAAACGAAUUAAUUAUUUUCCUUCCCAGUAAAAGCACUCAAACGUUUAAUUAAACUAAUAAACAUGUUGUUUUUUAUUGCAUUGGUGGUAAUGUAUAGAUUACAUAUUGCAAGCAACUGUUAUUGUACACUUGUACAGAUGGCAUUGUAACAUAGAAGUUCAUCUUGGUCAGUACUACAUGAACUGGACAACACAAACCAAGCUGACAUUUGAUACUACUUAAUUUCACCAAACACUAUUAGAACAAUCGAAUUGAUAAUUUAAAAGAAUAAAAUAUUGGCCUUAAUCACUUGUGCCAAUCCAUUUCUUGACCAGGCCAUGUAUUGAACGCUGGUUUGUAUUUUGGGAGUAAUAUCUGGCGUGUUGUUAUCUGUUAUCUAACAAAGUCUCAUUCGCUGCCGUUUGUCAUUAAUGCUAGGCUAAUCUCCCGUUAGCCUAGUACAUUUCCAUAUUAACAAAUUUAUAAAUUUCGACUAACAUUCGACACUAAAUUCAGACGGAUGAGGAGGCUACAAUCCUAUAUGCUUGCGAAUGUAGGACGCUGACUGCAGAUCUCGAGAGGAGGAUACUAGCAAUGGAAUUGAGAAGCUACAGAAAGAUUCUAGUUAUCACAAAGACUGCAAUGACAAAUAAAGGGAUUAGAAACAGGACAACAAUAGGACCACACGAUGACCUGCUAACUACUGUAAAAAAAAAUGCAAACUUAAACUGUAUGGCCAUAUGCCAAAUUCCUCGUUUCACUUGAAUAAGCUAAAAGAAAAUAUAAUGUACGAUUAAUUUCAUCUGUUUUAUCAACUCACUCUUUCUGUCUGUCUGUUUUUCUGUCUAUCUGUCUGGUAAAAAGUGUGUAUACGUUAUUUCUCCCACGCCCAUUCUCGGAUCAAGUUGAAGCUUUGCAGAGUUAUUAAUUGGAAUUGACAAGACAUGAAUUAAUAAGCUAAACUUAUUAGAUAAACUCUAGAUAAACUUUAGAUAAACUUUUUUAAAAAAGAUUUUUGUUAUAGUUUGCUUGUUAUUUUCCAUGGUUCCCUCCUUUAUGUGAUAAGACCUUAAUUUGGGAGGAAAUUAUUCAUCUCUUUCAACUAUAGACGUGCCUACCUCCGUAGCUUCCCACAUCCUAAAUUCAUACAUCAUCAUAUUCAUAUAACAGAACCUUUGAGGGCAUCACUACUGAAUCAUACAGUACUUCACGCCUUCUGUUUACAUUCAAAACUGAUUCCAAUGUAGUUUUGAACUACGAUACUACGCCCGGUAAGAUUGUCAUUGCAAAACAGUUGGUUCUUUCUUCCAUCAACAUUCAUCCAAACUUUAGGGCUAUUAAUAGUUGAUUAUGUUUUCUUAAAUAUUGUUUUCAAUUGGAGGAUGAGUUUCGUGUCUAGUUUUCUUAUGUCAUAAGCAUAGAAAUGAAAUAAGAUAACUUAUUAGUAUAAUUGUUAAGAAUCAAAUUUUAAUCUUAAAUUUAUAUAUUGUGCCUUUGGAUGCCAGUGAUAACAAUGAUAUGACCCAAAAAGAUGUACAGCCACUUUCUGUUGUAUAUUAUGUUCAUAUGGUGAAACUAACAAGAGUGUUAUGUGGUCCAGUUUAUUAUCUGAUUUCAUUGUCUUAGAUUAGCUUUGGUUUAAGUCCAUUGAAGCGCUGUCGGCCAUGUUAACACACAUCUGUACUAUUGAUAUU